rnacentral:rRNA from 1 species
GAUGAACGCUGGCGGCGUGCCUAACACAUGCAAGUCGAGCGAAGCGGGGACGGGUGAGUAACACGUGGAUAACCUCCUAUAAGACUGGGAUAAACUCGGGAAACCGGAGCCAAAACCGAAACUUAUCGAUUGAUGCGCUCUGCAUUUGCUAGUUGGUAGGGUAACGGCUUACCAAGGCAACGAUGCAUAGCCGAUCUGAGAGGGUGAUCGGCCACACUGGAACUGAGACACGGUCCAGACUCCUACGGGAGGCAGCAGUAGGGAAUCUUCCGCAAUGGGCGAAAGCCUGACGGAGCAACGCCGCGUGAGUGAUGAAGGUCUUCGGAUCGUAAAACUCUGUUAUUAGGGAAGCGGUACCUAAUCAGAAAGCCACGGCUAACUACGUGCCAGCAGCCGCGGUAAUUC